rnacentral:rRNA from 1 species
AUUGAACGCUGGCGGCAUGCCUUACACAUGCAAGUCGAACGGUAACAGGUCUUCGGAUGCUGACGAGUGGCGAACGGGUGAGUAAUACAUCGGAACGUGCCUAGUAGUGGGGGAUAACUACUCGAAAGAGUGGCUAAUACCGCAUGAGAUCUACGGAUGAAAGCAGGGGAUCGCACGACCUUGUGCUACUAGAGCGGCCGAUGGCAGAUUAGGUAGUUGGUGGGAUAAAAGCUUACCUAGCCGACGAUCUGUAGCUGGACUGAGAGGACGAUCAGCCACACUGGGACUGAGACACGGCCCAGACUCCUACGGGAGGCAGCAGUGGGGAAUUUUGGACAAUGGGCGCAAGCCUGAUCCAGCAAUGCCGCGUGCAGGAUGAAGGCCUUCGGGUUGUAAACUGCUUUUGUACGGAACGAAAAGCCCUGGGUUAAUACCCUGGGGUCAUGACGGUACCGUAAGAAUAAGCACCGGCUAACUACGUGCCAGCCGCCGCCGUAA